rnacentral:lncRNA from 12 species
UGGCCAUGAACAAAGCAAAAUAAAAAGGUGGGACAAGCCUUUCAGGCAGAGGACACUUAAAAGCACAAACAGACCUGGCGGGUUCUGAAGCUCCCCGAGGGAUCCAGAACAAGACCCCACACUCAGCGAGUAGCAGGAAUCGCUGUCUCUCAAUGCCCAGCAGAACGUCAUGCACGAGGGCACCUGCUGCGUGCGUUAUCUCCAGAAACCAGAAUGGGGUCUGACACAUAGCAAGUGCUCAACUAAUAUUUGUCGAAUAAAGGGAUGAUGAAUGAGUCACGACGAACAGGAAGUCUGUGCCCUCGCGUGUGUUUCCCACACUCCUCGGUGGCUACCAGCUGGUGGUCACACUUACUCGUUUUCCAUAAAACCCUAAUCACGAUACGCUGGCUGUCCUCCGUCUUCCUCAUUUCUCUCUCCCCUGCGUGACCUUAUGUUUCAUGGCUGGAGCCAGGCAAGAGGGAAGAAGACAGGAUCGGAAAGAAAAGAAAGCCAGCACACAUGACUUUGUGGCCACUGGUGUUUGGCUUUUCCUUUGAGUGAGAUGGAAAGCCAUUAGAAGGUCAAGAAAUAACUGAUAUGAUUACUGUUGUCUUUGUUGUUAUUGUCAGCAAACUGGCUGCGGUGCCGUGGAGCACUCCAAGCCCAUUGUUGGCUGUCCAUUGAGUUAAACGUGACCCUAUUUGGGGACCACUGGGAAUCCAUCCAAUGGCAUGAUUUCUGUGAAUGUAUGGGGAGUCGUAAUCCUCUGCUCACAAAAGCCAGGCUGUGCUGCCUUCUGGGACCACACUCCUGGUCCCAGGUCCUGAGUAAGCAGCAAGACUCAAUCCAACAUAUUGGGACAUCUGGGUGGCUCAGUGGUUGAGCAUCUGCCUGCACCCCAGGGAGUGAUCCUGGGGGCCCAGGAUCGAGUCCCACAUUGGGCUCCCUGCAUGGAGCCUGCUUCUCCCUCUGCCUGUGUCUCUGCCUCUCUCUCUCUCUCUCUCUCUGUCUCUCAUGAAUAAAUAAAUAAAAAUUAAAAAAAAAGACUCA